rnacentral:lncRNA from 1 species
GAGCCCCGCCCGAGCCGGGCGGAGCGGAGCGCGCGGAGCCUAGACCCGCUGCCGGGCCGGGGCUGGGCCGGAGCGGCGGCGCCUGGAUGCCGGCCCGGGGCUGGGCCGGAGACUGGCGCCCGCCCCGAAGCGACUUUCGGUCCCCGACCCGCUCCGCCUGACCCCUAUGAUGAAGAGGGCGUCCACUGGAGAAGGCCCCCUGGUAAGGCCAGCCAGCCGGAGGACCACCCCGCAGACCACACGCCCAGGGCCUGGCACCGAGGGGGAGGCCCCGAUCAGCAGGUGAAAGCGACACCCUGAUGACACUGGCUAGUUCACCUUCACUCUGGUCAUCGUUUACUGUACCCCGGGGCAGCUCCCGCCUGAGCCCUAUGACCCCAACCGCCGCAGCCUCUGGCUGCCUCACUGGCCCAUCAUUAAUACGUCGAUGGUGAGCGCACUGGUGUACAGCGAGGGGGCUCCACUUCCGAGACCCCUGGAGAGGCCCGUCCUGGUGGAGUUCACCCUGCUGGAGAUGGAGAAGCGAACCAAGCCUGUCUGUGUGUUCUGGAACCAUUCCCUGGCGUAAAUGUGAUGCCGGGAGUUCUGCAUCUUCAUACCAAGAGCAGUGAUGACCUUUUAGCUGGAAUGGCCAGAGGGGUAACGGUGACUAAUGGUGUUAAAGGGAAGGAAAGCUCCUGCCCAUCUGCAGCACCUUCGGCAUCUGCCCCUGCCAUGACCACUGUGGAGAACAAAUCCAAGAUUAGCACAGAGUCUCACUCUGUCGCCCAGGCUGGAGUGCAGUGGCUCGAUCUUGGCUCACUGCAACCUCCGCCUCCCAGGUUCAAGUGAUUCUCCUGUCCCUGCCUCCUGUGUAGCUGGGAUUACAGGUGUGCACCACCACAUCUGGCUAAUUUUUGUAUUUUUAGUAGACACAGGGUCUCACCAUGUUGGCCAGGCUAGUCUCCAACUCCUGGCCGCAAGUAAUCUGCCCACUUCAGCCUCCCAAAGUGUUGGGAUUAUAGGCGUGAGCCACCGAGCCCAGCUAGUACACAGAAUACCAUUUUUUACUUAAGUAUAUUAAUCUAGAAGAGUUUUUUUUAAAAUACAGUAUACCAUUUUUAUCUAUAACACUUAAAGACAAUCAAAGCCAAAUUAUGCUGUUUCAAGAUACCAUAUACUUAGAAAAACAUCUAUAAAAAGCAAGAGAAACAUACAAAUCAGGCCCAUCUGGAGAGAAGGGAGUGAAGCAUUGCGCUGAUACGGGGAUAAAUAUGCUGGUUGGGUAGACAGGCAGUCCUUAUGCUUUUGGCUGACGUAGAUGUUACGUACUAUUUCAUGUGUUAUCACACUCUCCAGUAAACACGUAACAUAAGAGAAUAAUUAACCACUAUCAAGCGUUCUCAUCUUGAGACAGGAAGAUGUAGAGGAAAGACCUUGAUGUGUGUGUCAGUUACAAGGAUGUACACCAGUGACUGACAUGACUUGGUGCAAAUCUUGGGUAGAGACCUAUACUUAAGCUCCUCACCCCCACCUGCCGAGGCGUAAGGGCUCAGAGGGGGUUCCAUGGGGUGGGCGGGAGUGGUAAGGGUCGAGGUGCAGCCACAGCCUGGCUCUGUGCACACCCCCUCCCUCCCCCUGGUCCCAUGUGCACACCCUCUCCCUGCCCCCUGCCCCUUGUGCACACCCUCUGUACCCCCCUUCCCGCCCCAGCCUGUGUUUGCAGUGCUACAGGGUGGCUGCAGCCUUUGCCUCCCACAGCUCCUCAAGGUCAGAGGGCUGGGAACCCCUGGGAUGUGGCUGGGAUGAGGACCCUGCCCCUCCUCAGGCAUUUCCAGGCAAGGGGCACAGAGACACAGCCAGCCCAGCAGCUGAGCCCCUCCUAUCAGGCCAGGUGGGAAACUGAAGCAUGAACACAACCCCAGACUGGAAAUAAAAAGCCGUCAUGUACUGUGUGCCUACUGAA